GAAGGGAUAACUCAAGUGGUGGAGCAUAUGCUUAGUAUGCAUAUGGUCCUGGGUUCAAUCCCCUGUACCUCCU
rnacentral:tRNA from 1 species